rnacentral:rRNA from 1 species
GAUGAACGCUGGCGGCGUGCCUAAUACAUGCAAGUCGAGCGAACAGACGAGGAGCUUGCUCCUCUGAUGUUAGCGGCGGACGGGUGAGUAACACGUGGAUAACCUACCUAUAAGACUGGGAUAACUUCGGGAAACCGGAGCUAAUACCGGAUAACAUCUUGAACCGCAUGGUUCAACAGUGAAAGACGGUCUUGCUGUCACUUAUAGAUGGAUCCGCGCCGCAUUAGCUAGUUGGUAAGGUAACGGCUUACCAAGGCAACGAUGCGUAGCCGACCUGAGAGGGUGAUCGGCCACACUGGAACUGAGACACGGUCCAGACUCCUACGGGAGGCAGCAGUAGGGAAUCUUCCGCAAUGGGCGAAAGCCUGACGGAGCAACGCCGCGUGAGUGAAGAAGGUCUUCGGAUCGUAAAACUCUGUUAUUAGGGAAGAACAAAUGUGUAAGUAACUAUGCACGUCUUGACGGUACCUAAUCAGAAAGCCACGGCUAACUACGUG